AGAAUCAACGCUGGCGGCGUGCCUAACACAUGCAAGUCGAACGAGAAAGUGGAGCAAUCCAUGAGUAAAGUGGCGACCGGGUGAGUAACACGUGACUAACCUACCUUCGAGUGGGGGAUAACAUCGGGAAACCGAUGCUAAUACCGCAUAACAUCGCAAGAUCAAAGCAGUAAUGCGCUUGAAGAGGGGGUCGCGGCUGAUUAGCUAGUUGGCGGGGUAACGGCCCACCAAGGCGAAGAUCGGUA
rnacentral:rRNA from 1 species